GACGAACGCUGGCGGCGUGCCUAAUACAUGCAAGUAGAACGCUGAAGGAGGAUCUUGCUCUUCUGGAUGAGUUGCGAACGGGUGAGUAACGCGUAGGUAACCUGCCUGGUAGCGGGGGAUAACUAUUGGAAACGAUAGCUAAUACCGCAUAACAGUAGAUGUUGCUUGACAUUUGCUUAAAAGGUGCAAUUGCACCACUACCAGAUGGACCUGCGUUGUAUUAGCUAGUUGGUGGGGUAACGGCUCACCAAGGCGAGGAUACAUAGACGACCUGAGAGGGUGAUAGGCCACGCUGGGACUGAGACACGGCCCAGACUACUACGGGAGGCAGCCGUACGGAAUCUUCGGGAAUGGACGGAAGGCAGAAUGGGAAAAGCCGCGUGAGUGAAGAAGGUGUUAGGAUCGUAAGGAUCUGUUGUAAGAGAAGAAGGAAAGUGAGAGUGAAAAGUUAACAGAGUGACGGUAUCUUAACAGAAAGGGCCGGCUAACUACGUG
rnacentral:rRNA from 1 species